GACCAGCACCCCGAGUGGUCGGGACGUUUAUUGGGCCUAAAGCAUCCGUAGCCGGUUCUACAAGUCUUCCGUUAAAUCCAGCUGCUUAACAGAUGGGCUGCGGAAGAUACUAUGGAGCUAGGAGGCGGGAGAGGCAAGCGGUACUCGAUGGGUAGGGGUAAAAUCCGUUGAUCCAUUGAAGACCACCAGUGGCGAAGGCGGCUUGCCAGAACGCGCUCGACGGUGAGGGAUGAAAGCUGGGGGAGCAAACCGG
rnacentral:rRNA from 1 species